AUCCUGACCCUCCUCCACCGUCGCCCUGAGCAAAGGAGUGCGCCUGCGCAGUCGAGAAGUGGAGGCGGAAGGGAUGGUGUGCGCGAGGCAAUGCGCUUGCGCAGCCGAAGGGUGGUGGCGGAAGGGAUAGUAGUGCCCUUGUUGACUUGUAAACUGUUCCAAGCGAUGCUGCUGAGGCCAACUUUUUAGAUCUAGUAGUCGUCAAAUAAUAGUUGCAUUUAGUGGUUCAGACUCUAAGGUUUGAACUCUCAUUCAGUCAUUCUUAGCUUUGAUUCUAAAAUCUGGGUAGCCUUAAGCAAGUUAUUUAACCAAAGCUUCGUUUCUUCAGUAGAAAAGGGAUUCUGGCAUUACCCAGCAGGUCCUUGCGAACAUUAGCUCUGCCAUCGCGAUGCCUGGCACAUAUAAAGUGGCCAUUAGCAUGCCAAUAUGUGGCGGUCACACAGACCAAUAGCUAGCUUCACAUUGAACACAUACCUAGAAACCAGCCUGGGAUUUGAAAUGAGAAACCUGCCUCAAGCUUUCUGGGCGAAUGCAGAACUUUACCAAACUGGUAUUUGGGAGCCAUCAUCAAACAAAAGCGAAUUGAUAGUGGUACAAACAGCACAUCAAAGAGGAAAACAUCUGGACUUGUGUUCUUGCCCUGGACAGAAUUGGGGCGCUAUUUGACCUUGACAACGAUAAUCUAUAUCUGGACUCCUCUCUUCUUGGAGACCAAGAUGUUUUGGCAGAAGCAGGGCAUAAAUGGAAAUGUGCCAGGCCAAAUGAGUGAAGCCCCCAGCAUGGUUGCACACCGACUCUACUUUCCUAGCCAGCACCAAGGUCUCAAGUGCCUCAGACCCUGCUCCGGACUGUCUCCUACUUAUGUAUGGUAUUCCCCCCAAAGUAACCCAGGCGUAACUUCUAAUUUCUGUUUUUUCCUGUUAUUGGAACAUUAUAUAGAGGAGCGUUAUAACAGGUGUGGGUUUUUAAGUUUGUUAGUAUUGUGCAUGUGUAUAUACAUGUGUGUAGGUGUAUGUGUGUGUUUAGGUGUGUAGGUAUGUGUGAGUGUGUGUGUGUAGAUGUGUGUGAGU